CAGAAAAAUUCAUACUAAACCUGUGGAAAAAUGCAUGUUUAUAUAGCCAUUAAAUGCCCCUUCCGAAAGGUGACAAUGGUUCACUGGAAAGGUGUAUCCUUUCUGAAUAGUCAUGUCUGUCCAUUCGAAAGAGUGUGUCUUUUCCGAACAACCAUAACCAUUUAAACAGUCAUACCUUUUUCCAAAAUAGUGUCUUUUACUCGAAGAGUUGUGUCCCUUCCAAGCAACUUUUCAUUUUCCUUUCACACCAAUUGAACACAACAUCUACUUCAUGUUGAAACUAAAGCUCUAGCUACGUGCAGACUCCAGGAAAGGGUCAAACCACCAGGAUUUAUUAUACACAAUCUUAUCUCACAUUUCUAAAAGAGGUUGUUUCCACGACUUGCACCUGUGACUUUUUGGUCACAUGGCAACGACUUUACUAGUUGCUCCAAGGCUAAAAGAUUAGUGAAAACUAAAAUGCACCGCUUUUACAUACAUGAUGAACUAUUAAUAAAAGCUAUGACGACUCUCGAAAUUGAAUGGAAAGAGCAAGAAGAGCUAGGACUGACUCAUUAACACGAUAUUCAAUUUGUCAUAACGAUAAUGGAUAAAUCAGAAACUUGUUCCCAACUCUAAAAUAUCGGACAUUAUUUGGGGACUAUCCUGCUUCCACUCAACAUGAUAUUUACACUUUGGUUGGAUGAUUGUUAUGUAUUAUUUUAUAAUGUAUGGUAUUGUGUUGUAUUUUAUUGUUUUAAUGAAUACAGUGUUUGAAUAGAUUGUAUCGUUUCUCGUCGUUACAUAAUCUCAUGCAUCAAUAUGAAGAAUAAACCUACUAGAAAAGUAGGUUCCAGGAUAGGGCUACUAUUAAAGGUAAGAUAAAGAAUAAAAUAAGAUUAUUAAAUAAUAAGAAAAGGUAAAAUGAGAAACAAUAUAAGGUUACGAUGCGACACCACCAAAUUGGUGGUUACAUAAACUGUCAUGGUUACCUAACCAUGAAAUCAAACCAUUUUUAGUAUCAGUCAAAAUAAACACGGUACUCUUAGGACCGCUUUGACCAUAGAUUUCUCAAGUAGUUUUGGGAAAAGACUUGGCAAAUCCACCAUAUGUAAAAUACCUAUUACAAUUCAGGUGUGUUUCAAAGUACUGGCUUUCUGUAAUCUAUAGCCCUCAAUUUAUCAACACUCAUCUCAAGUUAUCCCUUGGUAACCAUAUGAUUUGUGUUAAUGGAUUGAUUUGUGUUGCUGCUGGGAAGUAUGAUUUGUAUAUAGUGAACCAGUCGAUAAGAAAGUACAAAAAAAUUGCCUUAUCCUAGACCUAGUUUAAUGCAGUUUGUUCUCUGGCUGAUAUAUAGUUUUGGAUAUGAUGAGGUUCAUGAUGAUUAUAAAGUUGUGGGUGUUUUUUAUACUUAUGAACAAGCUGAGGUGAGUGAAAAACGAUUAAAUGGUCCGGAUAAGUUUGUGAAUGGGAAGUUUCAUUGGGCUAUUAUUGCUCGCGGUGAUAAUGUGUAUAAAGGAAGGAACAUCUAUUCUUUUGAUUUGACUGACAAGAAAUGGGAAAAGACGUGGAGCAACCCUCUUAUUGAGGAGGAGACUUGGUUUUGUGGAUGGCAGUGUUGGCAAGUGAUCUUUCUAUCUUUUGUGAUUAUAAGGAACUCACCUAGAUGUUUGGGUUAUGAAGGAGUAUGGGGUUAAAGAAUCUUGGACAACAAUGUUUGCCGUCAAAUGUCCUGUAAAGGAAUUGGAGUUUCGUUAUCUGUUUAAUCCGCUCUUUUUUAUGUCAAAAAGGGGUGAAAUUUCGCUGUGCUUGGAUCAAUUUCCGUGAUAUACAAUCCCAAGGAUAAGUCGAUAAGAUAUUCAGAGGUUACUAACUUUGAUGGUGAUUAUGAGGUGGAAAUAUACGUUGAAAGCCCGGUUUCUCCUUUUCCUACAGAAGAGCGUGAGGAAACCUCACAUCAAGAUAAUCGAGCAACAAAAAACUCUAGAUGUGGAAAACUAGAUGAAGUUAAAGUAACUAGCCAUGGAAGCUUACAUCGAAAACAAAGUUACCACCAAAGGUAAUCUGCUUCAGUUGGUUGGCAUUGCUGAAUGCUUGUUCGACACUGGACAAUCUUUGUAGAAGAAAUUCAGCUGCAGACACGUGGCAUAUGUUUCUUUCCCUUUUCAGUUUGAAAUGUGUGAUGCCUCAAACUAUUAGAGAAGCUGUUGUGAGCUGGAGCCACCGGAGAGUUGAUAAGGCCAUCAGGAACACCUGGAGGAUGAUACCAUACCAGCAUGUAUUUUUUGCUGCCUAUGGAAAAUAAGGGAUGGAACUUCAACUCCUAAUCAAUCUCUCAAAGCUAAAUGUUUAUUCAGUCUACAGUUGUUGGUCCAACCCGUCAUAUAUGAAUAGUUCCAAUUCUACUGCUUGCUUACAUUUCGUUAGCUCUCUAACUCUAGACUGUCCAUAGUCGUCUAAUUAGUCUUCUCUUCUUCUUCUUUUUUUGUUUGAUUUUGUGUCUGGCUCCCGGGUCUUAAUUUCUAUAAUGUAAUGUAGCUAGUAUAUCUACUUUUGUACUCUUUGCAUCUGCUUGAUGCCGAUAAUGGAACUUACUUCAUCAAAAAAAAAACUAGCCUUGCAAGGGUUUGGUUUGUAUCAAUUGACAUUUCUGUUCGAGUUUCAUAUGUUUCAUUAUGAAUGAAAACUUUGUUACGAAGA